CUAUCUACAGUCACUUCCGCUUCCAUAUUUUGAAAUCGUCGAUCUGUGAACAUUGUGAGGAAAGGAAAGCAAAACAAUGGGAGAAACACGUGGAGAGUAUACAAUCUAUUUUGUGGACAACUUGUUAAAGGCUCCUAGAGUAUUCUUAUGGGGUAAGCGACGUGUAUAACACUGGAAGAAGCAGUCCUACCAAACUUGAAAAGCCACGAGGUCGAGUGGUAAUGGCGCGCCCGUGCCGAUGAACUUGCACGUUGUUUUCACAAUCGGUUUUCCCAACUGCCGACUAUUCCUUGUCAGAUAAUCCUAAAAAUCCGGGAGAUAUAGCAUAGCCUAUCUAACUUUGAAGUUUGAGGAAGCAGACUGACUUUGAAGACGACAAUGAUGUUGAUUGAAUAAUACCAGGAUGCAGCAUUGCAGAAAGUAAUGACGGUAUCUGACAUGUCUUAUGCCAAUCAAUUCCUCCAGAAGAUGACACAAACUUUAAAUUAUGGAAGUUGCGAGCAAGAAUUUUUCAAGGGAAUGUCAGAUGGAGAAGAAACAUCAGUCAACAAGACAGUACUAGUGUAAAAUGAUAAAGUAUCUGUAAUAGGUGCUUACCAUAUUCUGCCUAUUGUGGAUUCAGUGAUGGUUUUUCAAACGAACUAUGCUCAUCAACCAAAUGUCCUUAAAAUUUGUGGAGUGCAGAGCCACUUUCAGGCGAGACAGUAGUGUGGUUCAUUUUAGUGGACAUGAUUUUAGACGAGAUGUGCUUUGUGAAACUUGAAACAUUGUUCAUUCAUCAUAGUGUAAUGAGAACUGUUGUGGUCCAUCAUUCUAUGCUUUAGUGAAGUAAUGGAUAUAAUGUGAAGUACAUGUGUAAAUGCUCAUAUUCUGCACAACAUAUUUUUCAGUGACAUUAUUUCUUUGAGACCAAGCUCUGGACAGUUGAUAGCCAUUUAUGUGUAGGACUUUAUUUAUUUUUCUGUGUGUGCAAUAGCAACUGUCACUUGCAGUAAACCCAAACAAAAUGGAGAAAUAAUUUGUUGAGUUCAGAGAUUACAAUUUUUAUUGUGUUAUUUUGAUGAGAAGAUAGUAUUAAUAAGGUACAAUGGUACAUUGUAUCUUAUUGAAAAGCUUAUUUAAGAGUUAUCAGUAGAAUUAGACUGCAUGACAAUUAUUAGAAUGGGAAACCUAGAUGAAGUCAAAAGAAACUAUACUGUAUUUUACAGACUGUCCUGGAAAUAUCAUGCAAUAAAUAAUGUCUCCAGUGUUA